AGCAGCAGAAUCAGGAGAAAUGGGACACCCGGGGUUAGAAUGUGGUGGAGGAACUCGAUUGUGACCCAGACACUGGAGAAUUGAACAGCGCCUGUUACAUCACAAAACCAGGGGGCGUUCACCAGCCGAUACCGAGCCGUGAGCAUAAAAUACCAGGAAAUGUUCUUUAAACAGCUCAGCACAGUCACUGCUCCCAGAACCACAGCCGCCGUUUUCUCACUGCAAUAUUUACUUUUCAGCUUCUGGCAACAAAUGGCCACAAACCGAUCAAAGGUGAAAGUGACGGUGAACCAGACAGAGCAGUCAGUGGCUGCAUAAAGCAGGACGGCGUGGAUAUUACACACGGGGACAGAGUCCCUCAGGAAAUAAAACUGUUCCUGAUAAACAAUGGGAAUGUGUCUCAGGAUCAGGUCGAGGAUAAUGACCAGGAGAUCCGCCGCUGCCAUGGCCCCCAGGUAUCUGUGUUAGCUGUCUGGAUACAGAAUUGGCUGGCCAGCAGAAGACAACGAGUGGUAGUGGAAGGAAAAUAUUCUGCCUGGAAGGCUGUGGGCCAUAUAAACAUAUCUUCAAAUCGACCGAGACCAUUUUCUGCUCAGGGUAUGGCUCUGUGUAUGACAGUAGCAAUGAUGCAACGA